rnacentral:tRNA from 1 species
ACUGUUACGCGAAUGACGCAGGUUCAAAUCCUGCCUGCGG